CCUACGGGCGGCAGCAGUGAGGAAUAUUGCUCAAUGGGCUUACGCCUGAACCAGCCAAGUCGCGUGAGGGAAGACUGCCCUAUGGGUUGUAAACCUCUUUUGUCAGGGAGCAACGCCGUCUACGUGUAACCGGCCUGAGAUUACCUGAAGAAAAAGCAUCGGCUAACUCCGUGCCAGCAGCCGCGGUAAUACGGAGGCUGCGAGCGUUAUCCGGAUGUUUUGGGUUUAAAGGGUGCGUAGGCGGAAUGCCAAGUCAGCGGUAAAAUCGCGGGGCUCAACCGCGCUCCGCCGUUGAAACUGGCGUUCUUGAGUGGGCGAGAAGUAUGCGGAAUGCGUGGUGUAGCGGUGAAAUGCAUAGAUAUCACGCAGAACUCCGAUUGCGAAGGCAGCAUACCGGCGCCCAACUGACGCUGAAGCACGAAAGCGUGGGUAUCGAACAGGAUUAGAUACCCUUGUAGUC
rnacentral:rRNA from 1 species